GAUCCAACUUGAAUGCUUCCUGAUUAAAUAUAUACAGGAGUGAUUUCAGAGGAAUUUAAGUUUUGGAUCAUCCUUUUGAGAAAGAAAAAAAAGUACCCUUUUAAAAGAGCGUACUUUCAACAUAAAGACGACGAGGAUAAAGGCAUUUAUGAUGAACUACUUCCACAUAAUGAAUAAUUGAACAAAGGAGAGAAUUGUGAGAGUGAGAAAAAGUAAGUGAGACAAAGAAGAAAAACUAUAAAUCAGCAAAAUCCAGUGCCAAGAGCUCUGGACCACAAAUCAGAAGACCUGAGCCCUAAUUCCUUUCCAGUCAUUGGAUUUGUUCAUCGCUUGCCAAAACAGCAGCGAACUCUGUCAAACUGCAGCUCAUUUUAUCGGAGCAAAAACUGAACAAAGAACUGCUAUCAUGUCUGAGGUCAGAGGCAGUGCAGCUUGUGUUACAACUCAAAGAGUAAUACUUUGAAAAAAGAAAAAAAAGAUGGCGCUGAAAAUAAACAUGUUCAGCAGCCAUUGUGAUUCAACUUACCCAGAUGUGCUUUUCAUGAGAUGGAGAAGGACGGAUGGAAAAGAAAAGCACACAAAUGUUAAUGGAUACAGUUCAAUCCAAAGAAAACCAUGGAAUAAAACAAGAGCAUUAUUUAAGAUGUGAGAAAGCUCAGGUAUGAGAAAGACAUGGUGCCAUUUUGUAUUUCAUCAUGACACACAUACUCACUGCGUCGAAAAGCAUAGUCAGGCUGAGGGUAGUUCUAAUAGUUGACCAAUAAGUCUAUGUCUUGAGUAUGAGCCACU
rnacentral:lncRNA from 1 species